rnacentral:rRNA from 1 species
AAUGAACGCUAGCGGCAGGCUUAAUACAUGCAAGUCGAGGGACAGCACAGGUAGCAAUACUGGGUGGUAACCGGCAAACGGGUGCGGAACACGUACACAACCUUCCUUUAAGUGGGGGAUAGCCCAGAGAAAUUUGGAUUAAUACCCCGUAAUAUAGUUGAAUGGCAUCAUUUGAUUAUUAUAGCGACGGCGCUUAAUGAUGGGUGUGCGGCUGAUUAGAUAGUUGGCGGGAUAACGGCCCACCAAGUCUACGAUCAGUAGCUGAUGUGAGAGCAUGAUCAGCCACACGGGCACUGAGACACGGGCCCGACUCCUACGGGAGGCAGCAGUAAGGAAUAUUGGUCAAUGGACGCAAGUCUGAACCAGCCAUGCCGCGUGAAGGAUUAAGGUCCUCUGGAUUGUAAACUUCUUUUAUUUGGGACGAAAAAGGGCCUUUCUAGGUCAACUGACGGUACCAGAUGAAUAAGCACCGGCUAACUCCGUGCCAGCCGCCGCCGUAAAAC